CCUGCAUUGAGCAUCUACCCCCUAGUGGUCAGUGUGCAUCAUGGCAAGCAGUUGUUCGGCCAUUUGAUCAAUUUGCAUAUUAGGGUUUUAUUAUAUAGGAUUAGUGACUGCCUGUGGCCCCCGUCUUUAUUUUGUAUUGCAGGAUGACCUCUUCCCAGGAUGACUGACAGUGGGGAUGUCUACUCCUGGUAGGGCAGCGGUUCUCAACCUGUGGGUCGCGACCCCUUUGGCAGUCGAAGGACCCUUUCACAGGGGUCGCCUAAGACCAUCCUGCAUAUCAGAUAUUUACAUGACGAUUCAUAACAGUAGGAACGUUACAGUUGUGAAGUAGCAACGAAAAUAAUUUUAUGGUUGGGUCACAACAUGAGGAACUGUAUUUAAAGGGCCAGAAGAUUGAGAACCACUGUGGUAGGGGAAUGACUCCACCCCCUUCUGCACUGAGAGCACAAUGUGCCUUACACCUGAAAACUCAAUGACCCAGCCCCAGCCUCAGCCACCUCAGCCCUGAACAGCAGCAGGAGGGGGACACUAACAGCUGAGUCCAGGUUCUCUCUCCAGCCUCUUCUCCAGGUCCAGGUGAAGACCAGGCCGGCCCCACUUACUCAUCCCCUCUGUGCGUUGCCUGCAUAUGACCACACAACUUCCUCCGGAAAAGCAAUGGAAAAAGUAUUGUCUGGUGAGGAUUAAAAAAAUUAAAUUAAAUUAAAAAGAAUAGAAGAUCAGCACUCAGACACACACAAGCAAGGAAGACCCUGUGAAGACACAGGAAGAAGACCGCCGUCUACAAGUCCAGGGGAGAGGCCUCAGAAGGAACCAACCCUGCCAACACCUGGAUCUUGGACUUCUAGCCUCCAGAAUCGUGAGAAAACACAUUUCUGCUGUUGAAGCCACCCAGCCUGUGGCUCUUGGUUAUGGCAGCCUGAGUAGAUGACUAUACCCUUGCCUUUUGCUGUCCUUGCAAAAAGCCUUUCCUCUUUUAAUGCCGAUCAAGUCAUGGGACCUACCUCAUGCUGCCCUGCACACGGGCCUUGAGCAAUGGCUUGGGGAGUCUAGAAGGGAGCACACCACGUCUGGAUCCACCUCCGUCUGCAAGGGCAUCUUUGUCCUUUGUGUUCAGGAGGGACGUGAAGGAUCAGUGAGGACAGAGGGGACACCAUUCUAGCCAGCCGUGAACAUUACUCCCACUCUGGUCCUGGCCAGGCAAGGGUGCUCAUCUCUUUCACAUCUGCAAGACAGGCCACCAGCCUGACACUUCCAAGCUGCCCUGUCCCAUAAGGGAGUCACCAGCCCCAUGGGGCCCUCGAGCCCUUGCCAUGUGGCUUGUCUGAACUGAGAUGUGCUGGGAAUGUAAAAUAAUAACAACUUAGUUGGGAAAAUAUGCAAAAAUUUUAUUAAUAACUUUAAUACAGAUUACAUAUUUAAAUUUUUUGGAUAGCUUGGGUUAAAUAAAAUACAUCUAUAAAAUUAA